rnacentral:pre_miRNA from 1 species
UUUUUAGCAUAAAUAUAUCCCAUGCAAUAUUUGAGACAUACUUUUACUAAAA